CGUCCUUAGUUACCAGCAUUUAGUGGGUACCCUAAGGAGACUGCCGGUGAUAAGCCGGAGGAAGGUGUGGACGACGUCAAGUCAUCAUGGCCCUUACGGGUUGGGCUACACACGUGCUACAAUGGCAUCUACAGUGAGUUAAUCUCCAAAAGAUGUCUCAGUUCGGAUUGGGGUCUGCAACUCGACCCCAUGAAGUUGGAAUCGCUAGUAAUCGCGGAACAGCAUGCCGCGGUGAAUACGUUC
rnacentral:rRNA from 1 species